rnacentral:lncRNA from 1 species
UAUUAAAUGGAAAAGGGGGAAUAACUCUCAUAUGGAGUCUCCGUAAAGCUUCGGUCCAAAUGAAUAUCCUAAUCCUGAAGAUGUAACGAGCAAUUUGGUAAAAAUAAAUUUGUCGUAAUCUUUUAACGGUUGCGAAGGAGUAGUGGCCACAAGAAAAACAGUGUUUGGGGAGAUAACUCUUACAACGUAAAGUAUUUUGUUACACAGUUGUAAAUUUUUAAAGCGUAUAAACUAUACGAUAUCAUAUUCCAAAUAUCUAAGCGACAUCUUUGAAACAUCAAUACUACGCAAGAAA